CUUAUUGCCUCUUUUGGAUUCCACUACCACCUGUACGCUGAUGACACUCAGAUACACCUCUCCUCCCCAGACCUUUCCUCUGCCGUCCUGCAACGUGUCACUGCUUGCCUUUCUUCCAUCUCUGACUGGAUGUCCUCACGCUUUCUGAAACUUAACCUCUCUAAAACUGAACUCCUUGUUUUUCCUCCUCCUAAUACUGAUCCUCCUCUCUCGCUCACCCUUGUAGUCAGUGAUAUCCACAUAAGUCUAUCCCUGCAAGCACGCUGUCUUGGCGUCAUACUUGACUCUGGUCUCACCUUUGAG